CGGCUCGUAGCUCAGUUGGCAGAGCACGUGACUCUUAAUCAUGGGGUCGUGGGUUCGAACCCCACCGAGCCGACAA
rnacentral:tRNA from 1 species